GCUCUUAAAGCAUGAUCCAAAUCCCAUUCAAGUCAAUGGGGAUCUUUCCAUUGCCUUCAAUGGGCUUUGGAUCAGGCCCUUAACGU
rnacentral:pre_miRNA from 1 species